UACGGAGGGUGCAAGCGUUAAUCGGAAUUACUGGGCGUAAAGCGCACGUAGGUGGGCUGAUAAGUCAGAUGUGAAAGCCCCGGGCUUAACCUGGGAAAGUCAUCUGAAACUGUCAGUCUAGAGUACAGUAGAGGGUAGUGGAAUUUCCGGUGUAGCGGUGAAAUGCGUAGAUAUCGGAAGGAACAUCAGUAGCGAAGGCGGCUACCUGGACUGCAACUGACACUGAGGUGCGAAAGCGUGGGGAGCAAACAGG
rnacentral:rRNA from 1 species